ensembl:lncRNA
ACCUCCUCGAUGUUCCUCCAGACCCCAAAGUCCCCCUUGUCCUCCAUGCCCCCCCAUAUACCCUCAUGAUUUCCCAUAGACCACCCUGACCCCCUACGGAUCCUAAAGUCCUCCUUACCUUCCAUGCCCCCAUAAGCCCCCACAAUCCCCUAUAGAGCCCUACAUCCUUUAUGCCCCCCUAUAAGCUCCCACCAUCCCCUACAGACUCCAGCCCACCCCUUUGUCGCCCCAUUGGCACUCCACAGCACCGCCACCACCCACAUCCUUUUCCGUUGUAGGGCGGAAGGAAGCGGCGGCCCCACAGUGUGGCAGCAGCGCCAUGGCUGGCCCUAUAACCGCCCUUAUGGGCGUUGUGCUCAGGGGUGAGGGGGGAUCCCAUAUUUGGGGGUGUCCUAUGGGGGUUGCUAUGGGGUCAGUAGGGUGCUAUGGGGUGCUUUGGCCCCACGGUGACCCCACUGUGCCCCCCCCCCAAGCUCUGUUCUCCCCUAUGGGAACCUUCAACUUCCAUCCGACCCCACAGCGGGUCCUGGAGGUCGCGGGGACCCCCAGCUUUGGUUAUGGGGUGCUGAUGCUGUCAGAGGGACGGGAACCACAGCGCUGCCCAUAUGGGAAUGGCUCUGAGCCGGGAUGGGAACAACACCAUCGCUUGUGGCCCCGGGCUGAGGUGGGAAUGCAACCACAACAUCCACGUUGGGGGGGUCUGCACUGUGCUGGACCCCUAACUGCAGCCGCUGCAGGUGUUGGAGGCUGGAUAUCAGGUCUGAAAGCAUAUGAGUUCAAGGCCAUCCGGGAUUUCAUGGUGGAGGUGAUGGAGCAGCUGAGCAACAGCUCCUUCAGGGUGAGCACUGGGGGGUGGGAGCGGGGGCUUCUCUGGGGUCUCUGGGGGCUUCUCUGGGGGCCCUACGGGUGUAUAGGAGUCUCUAUGGGUCUGUACGUGUUUUUGUGGAGUCCCUAUGGCGUCUCUAUGGUGUCGGUAUGGGAUGUCCACACAUCCGUUUGUCCAUCAGAUCGCAGCCGUUCAGUGCUCCGAUUUCCCUGAGCCUGUGUGUCUCUAUGGGGUCUGUAAGGGGUCUGUGUGGACGAUAUGGGGUCUCUACGGGGCCCCUGUGGGUAUAUAGGAGUUUCUAUGGGGUCACUAUGGUGUUUCUAUGGGGUCCCUAUGGGGUAUCUGGGGCAGCAUGGGACCUCCACGAGGUCGCUAUGGUGUCAGUACGGGAUGUCCGUCUGUCCGUCAGUUCGCAGCCGUGCAGUUCUCUGAUUCCCUGGAGCCGGUUUUCGCACUCCGCGAUUACUUGGAGCGGCCGCAGCCCCGGGAGCUGCUGCGCGACGUCCGGCAGCAGGACAGCUUCACCGACACCUUCACGGCUGUCCAAUAUGUCGCAUGCGUGUCAGCUGACCGCCCCACGUGACCACCCGCCCGUCACAUGACCGCCCGCCUCCCUGCGCUCGCUGUGUCUCCUGGCACCCUGUCACAUGACCGCCCGUCUGUGACUUCGGGCCACGCGACCAACUGUCUGAGUUCCCUUCACGUGACCACCUGACUGUGAGUUCCUGUCACGUGACCGCCUCUCUGUCACGUAGAGGGAAGGGGACGGGAGUGGAAGGGUGGGAAGGGGUGUGGAGGAGAGAGGAGGGGACUGAAGGGGAGGGGAGGAG